CGCGUAGGCGGUUUGAUCAGUCGGAUGUGAAAGCCCCGGGCUCAACCUGGGAAUUGCAUUCGAUACUGUCUUACUAGAAUGUGGUAGAGGGAAGUGGAAUUCCAGGUAUAGCGGUGAAAUGCGUAGAUAUCUGGAGGAACAUCAGUGGCGAAGGCGACUUCCUGGACCAACAUUGACGCUGAGGUGCGAAAGCGUGGGGAGCAAACA
rnacentral:rRNA from 1 species